UUCGCUCUCUACAUAGAAGUCACCGUUUUGCGCCGAUUUCGCGCCGCGCUCGAUUCUCGCUGGUUGGAAGACUCAAGGGAGGUCUUUGGAACGUGGGAAAGAAGGGUUUUAUUGUGUUUUCUGUGCGGUUACUGCCAGGGAAGCUGACUCUCAGCUUUAGAGAGGUUUCUGAACCUUAUUGAACUAAAUUAGUGACCUUGGGAACUAGUUUAGAAGGUGCUUCAAGCAGGGCGAGAGGGUAUUUGACCCUUGGACUGCUUUCGAUUGGCAUUGGAGGGCCUUUUGGAAGCUUAACUUGAGGUAAUAAACUGAACCAAAACAGGGAAUUAAGCUUCUACUUUGUAUUUAUUGAGAAUAAUCGUCUCGGUGCGGUUUUGUUACCUUGUUUGCAGCAGGAUUGGGGCCUUGUUGAGCUGAUUUUUGGGACUUCUUGUGACUGAUUGGAGCCUAGUAAUAGAGCCAUUUACAGGAGAGGCUAGGGAUCGUGGCAAGG